GAUGAAGAACGUAGCGAAAUGCGAUAAGUAGUGUGAAUUGCAGAAUUCAGUGAAUCAUCGAAUCUUUGAACGCAUAUUGCGCUCUCUGGUAUUCCGGAGAGCAUGCUUGUUUGAGUAUCAGUAAACACCUCAACUUCCAUAUCUUUUUUGAAAUGGGAGUUGGACUUGAGUGAUCCCAACGCUUUUCCUCACCGAAAAGCGGCGGGUUACUUGAAAUGCAGGUGCAGCUGGACUUUUCUCUGAGCUAUAAGCAUAUCUAUUUAGUCUGCCUAAAAAACAGAUUAUUACCUUUGCUGCAGCUAACAUAAAGGAGAUUAGUUCUUGUGCUGACUGAUGCAGGAUUCACAAAGACAGGCUUCGGCCGACUUUGUAAACUCGAUCUCAAAUCAAGUAAGACUACCCGCUGAACUUAAGCAUAUCAAUAAGCGGAGGA
rnacentral:misc_RNA from 1 species